CCCUCCACGAGCUUCAAGCUCACGAACCGUCAAUAUCAGCCGAACGCCGGUAUCUCCCAAGCGGCUGAUAAUUCCAAAUAGCAGUCUCUAGUCGCCGGUAAUAAAAUCCCCCCAAUAACGAGACCAAGCUCCGCAUUGAGGGUAAAACACGAACUGAGUUUACUGUGGGCUACCCGCCCGUAUUUAUGCAGGUCUCCCACUUGGUGGACACUCCCCUAGGGGACCAAAUGGGAGACUGGAAUAGCAGAUGGACAUAUG